rnacentral:rRNA from 1 species
AAGCUCGUAGUUGAAUUUCGGGAUUAGUACGUCGGUCGUGCCUUAGGUACGUACUGGUGUUACUGGUUCCUACCUUCUGACGAACCAUCAUGUCAUUAAUUUGGUGUGGUGGGGAAUCAGGACUGUUACUUUGAAAAAAUUAGAGUGUUUAAAGCGGGCUCGCGCUUGAAUACAUUAGCAUGGAAUAAUGAAAUAGGACGUUGAUCCUAUUUUGUUGGUUUCUAGGAUUGACGUAAUGAUUAAUAGGGAUAGUUGGG